ACAGAAGCACUGGACUUGGUGUCAGAUGGGAUGAGUCCUGGCUCUGUUUCCUAGUAGCAGUCUGAUCUUGAACUAGUCACUGG
ensembl:miRNA